GAUGAACGCUGGCGGCGUGCCUAAUACAUGCAAGUCGAGCGAACGGACGAGAAGCUUGCUUCUCUGAUGUUAGCGGCGGACGGGUGAGUAACACGUGGAUAACCUACCUAUAAGACUGGGAUAACUUCGGGAAACCGUAGCUAAUACCGGAUAAUAUUUUGAACCGCAUGGUUCAAAAGUGAAAGACGGUCUUGCUGUCACUUAUAGAUGGAUCCGCGUUGCAUUAGCUAGUUGGUAAGGUAACGGCUUACCAAGGCAACGAUGCAUAGCCGACCUGAGAGGGUGAUCGGCCACACUGGAACUGAGACACGGUCCAGACUCCUACGGGAGGCAGCAGUAGGGAAUCUUCCGCAAUGGGCGAAAGCCUGACGGAGCAACGCCGCGUGGGUGAUGAAGGUCUUCGGAUCGUAAAACUCUGUUAUUAGGGAAGAACAUAUGUGUAAGUAACUGUGCACAUCUUGACGGUACCUAAUCAGAAAGCCACGGCUAACUACGUG
rnacentral:rRNA from 1 species